rnacentral:rRNA from 1 species
UGGGGAAUCUUGGACAAUGGGCGCAAGCCUGAUCCAGCCAUGCCGCGUGAGUGAAGAAGGCCUUAGGGUUGUAAAACUCUUUCGCCGGUGAAGAUAAUGACGGUAGCCGGAGAAGAAGCCCCGGCUAACUUCGUGCCAGCAGCCGCGGUAAUACGAAGGGGGCUAGCGUUGUUCGGAAUUACUGGGCGUAAAGCGCACGUAGGCGGGUCUGUAAGUAGGGGGUGAAAUCCCAGGGCUCAACCCUGGAACUGCCUUCUAGACUGCAGGCCUUGAGGUCAGGAGAGGCGAGUGGAAUACCGAGUGUAGAGGUGAAAUUCGUAGAUAUUCGGUGGAACACCAGUGGCGAAGGCGACUCGCUGGACUGAUACUGACGCUGAGGUGCGAAAGCGUGGGGAGCAAACAG